AUUUGGUUUGGGAGGAGUCACAAGGAGGGACAGGACCUUAUUUUUGAGAAUGUAGGCUGUGUCAUCAUGCACUCUCCUCUGGCAGUCAUGGCAGAGGCUGGGUGGUCACCUGGGAGGAGGUUGUGCAGUAUGGUGUGCCAAGGAAAAGAGAGACAGAGAGACCUGAAUUUGUCAUGUCCAUUCACAAGAUGCUCCUGCAAGUUGUCCAGCAUGAGCCAAUGGACCUUGUGUUUUCUCUGUGGGACACAGAGGACAGCCUCUUGGGAAAGGGUGACUCAGGCCCAUCAGUGCUUUGAUCAGCUUGGAGCCAGCACUGGCAAAACUUCAGAGAGCCCUGGAUUACCUGGGAAGGUGCAGAUAACAGUGAAUGAAACAAGGUGUAUCUGAGGCACCCCAAGCCAACAAGCAAAGAAAAAGUAGCUGAGAGUGCAAAAAGGACAAAAAGGAGAUGUCUUGGAGAAAAAAGACAAGAAAUAGCCCACGGAACGAAAAACCCUCUAAGAGAACUAGAACAGGAGAGCAUGACAAUAGUUUUAUUUCUACAGUAUUUUGAACCGUAUGUUCAUCUGGGUCUCAGAAGCAGACAUUGUGAAUUUUCUGUGAAAAAGAUUUUAUUCUGUGCUGUUUAAACAGUUCCUAGCAGAGUGUUCCUGACCCCGUUAUGAGGAUGUGCUUUGGCAAAUAAAAACCAAGAAGAGAGUGUAGUUGGAGAUGAAAUGCUGAAAGUGGGCCUUGAUGCUCAGAAAAGAUGUUCCUUUGGUAUUUGUUUCUGUGUGUUACUAUUAUUAUUCCUUUAAGCAAACAAACACAUUAGUUCACCUCAUUAAAAUCAAAGAGAAAAAUCUGAGAAAUGUAGUUCAGCAGCCAAAGUCUCAAAAUCCACCUUGAAAUCUUUUUGGCUGUCUUCUCGAGGGAGGUGUAAAUCUUCCUUUUGUUGGCUUUUAUUUCUGAAUUUGGCUCUGCUCCUGGAAAUCUUUCCUGAGAGGCCUCCACUUGCUAUAAACGUUGCAAAAGAAGCCUCACAAUUUGCAAUGCCAUUCUAAUUAUUUUUCUGAUGGGCCAAGAAUCGCCUUGUGGCCGUCUGGGGAGAGCCUUGGUCCUGAAUUUCUAACUCAUCCCUUGGAAUCAUUCUGAACAUCGAGCACUCGCUGCCAAUCAAAACCACUGUGUACUCAGGGCUGGGCCUUCAGUCUGCCCAUGUCCCUGCAAACUCAACUGAGGAUUUCCAUCUGAUGGUUGUGAUGAAAUGCAGCAGAUUCCUUGCUGAGAAGGCAACAGGAAAAAGAGAUUAAAAAAACAAAUAGCAAGGGACAUGAAGGGAGGCUUGGGCAUAGGAAAUCAGGAAGAGUGACUGUAUCUUAUCUCUUACUUGUGCUCUUCUUCUGGGAUCCUGCUCUAAGAGGGGUCUGUACCCAAAUUUUGGAAAAACACCCAGUUGUCCACUGCACUCUUUUCCAAACAACAACAGAAGGAUUCUGGAGGGAAUGCAGUGACCUUUUUAAUAUAUAACUUUGCUUGGAUUAGUGGAUGGCCUGGGGUGCUUUUGAGAAAAAAUGCUGUCAGGAAAACACACCAAGGGCUCGGUGUCUCACAGCAGAUCAGAUCAUUUUGCGGUAACAAGGCAGGAAGUUC